GACACCACGUCACAUAGUUCAGCACCAUCACCUUCUACAGGUGUGUUGAUCAUUAGUAAUAUGACACCACGUCAGUCAUAGUUCAGCACCAUCACCUUCUACAGGUGUGAUGAUCAUUAGUAAUAUGACACCACGUCACAUAGUUCAGCACCAUCACCUUCUACAGGUGUGAUGAUCAUUAGUAAUAUGACACCACAUCAGCCAUAGUUCAGUGGUGUCAUAUUACUAAUGAUCAACACACCUGUAGAAGGUGAUGGUGCUGAACUAUGACUGAUGAGUGUAAAUGUCAAUAAGGAUGUGUCCUGAGUAUUUUCUCGAUCAUCAAACAAAGAUUUUUUUCCCCUCCUGUAUAUUCUGUCUUAAUCAAUAUGAAUAAUAUGUGUAUUAGUUAUGUUCCAUCUGCUUGUUUCGUUUUCAGACAAUCAUCUGUUUGUGUAUCUAAAUUGUGAAAUAUAUUUUAAAAAAAAAUAAAAGGCUUGUCUGUCUAUGUGUGAUGGGGGGGAGAAAAAAAUCAAGUAAUAAAAAUGUUUUUUGUUGAAAUACUGUAUUUUCAUAUUUCUCUCCACCCUUGAUACGUCCUGAAGUGACAAAGUUGAAAUCAGUUACACAAUGACAUCAUGGACAAACAAAGUGGCGAUUCGAAUAAAACUUUAUUGACUUUGAGUCCAGACGGUAAAGGGGAAAAUUACAGACUUCUGAACCCGGAAAACUUGAAACUGUUUUUGUUACUGUUAUUGUUCUUGUUUAUUUUUCAUCCAUUUGGUACAAUUUUUCGUACAAAAACUACGUGCACCCUAAGUAAUCAAUUAUGCAGCAUUACAAACCACAAAAAAAAUACCAGUUUUACAUGAUCAAAUACUGCACAUAGAAAACACUUACAAAGCAUCAGGUAUAAAAGUACAGAUCCUUUGUCUUUGCCAUCCUUC